ACGCCUAAUACAUGCAAGUCGAACGAAGUAGCAAUACUUAGUGGCAGACGGGUGAGUAACAUGUGGGUAUCUUCCCUUUGGUGAGGAAUAACACGAGGAAACUUGUGCUAAUACCUCAUAAGUCUUUACGGAGAAAGCUUUAUGCGCCAAUGGAUGAGCCCGCACUUGAUUAGUUUGUUGGUGGGGUAAUGGCCUACCAAGACAAUGAUCAAUAGCUGAUUUGAGAGGAUGAUCAGCCACAUUGGGACUGAGACACGGCCCAAACUCCUACGGGAGGCAGCAGUAGGGAAUCUUGCACAAUGGAGGAAACUCUGAUGCAGCGAUGCCGCGUGAGUGAAGAAGGCCCUUGGGUUGUAAAGCUCUUUCGUCGGGGAAGAAAAUGACUGUACCCGAAUAAGAAGGUCCGGCUAACUUCGUGCCAGCAGCCGCGGUAAUACGAAGGGACCUAGCGUAGUUCGGAAUUACUGGGCUUAAAGAGUUCGUAGGUGGUUAAAAAAGUUGGUGGUGAAAGCCCAGAGCUUAACUCUGGAACUGCCAUCAAAACUUUUUAGCUAGAGUAUGAUAGAGGAAAGCAGAAUUUCUAGUGUAGAGGUGAAAUUCGUAGAUAUUAGAAAGAAUACCAAUUGCGAAGGCAGCUUUCUGGAUCAUUACUGACACUGAGGAACGAAAGCAUGGGUAGCGAAGAGGAUUAGAUACCCUCGUAGUCCAUGCCGUAAACGAUGUGUGUUAGAUGUUGGAAAUUUAUUUUCAGUAUCGCAGCGAAAGCAAUAAACACACCGCCUGGGG
rnacentral:rRNA from 1 species